rnacentral:tRNA from 1 species
GGGGCUAUAGUGUAGCUUGGAUCAGAACAAAUAAAUGUGUUUUGAAAGCAGCUAUCACUGCUGGUUUGGGGCCAGCCGACCCCGGUUCAAAUCCGGGUAGCCCCA